AAUAAUGCGUUGAUGAAGAGUAGUAGCAUUUGAAGGAGUUUUAGAGAGCCGAUGGGUGGUGGGAAUCGGUACGAUUUCAUUUGUGAAUGGACUUCGGAGUUGCCGAGCAGAACGUGAGUUAUUCAGUAUGCUUUGGUCGAUUUAGCCAAUCGUUAAAAUAGGCUGACAGUUAUUUCCAUAGUCUGUCAUAAAGUGGAUUGCUGAAUUCAGCAAUCAAUUAAGGUGGUACCGCGGGUCUCUCGUCCUUUUU
rnacentral:ncRNA from 1 species